rnacentral:rRNA from 1 species
UACGGGGGGGGCAAGCGUUGUUCGGAAUUACUGGGCGUAAAGGGCGCGUAGGCGGCCUGCUAAGUCCGACGUGAAAUCCCCAGGCUUAACCUGGGAACUGCGUCGGAUACUGGUUGGCUUGAAUUCGGGAGAGGGAUGCAGAAUUCCAGGUGUAGCGGUGAAAUGCGUAGAUAUCUGGAGGAAUACCGGUGGCGAAGGCGGCAUCCUGGACCGAGAUUGACGCUGAUGAGCGAAAGCUAGGGGAGCAAACGGG